rnacentral:tRNA from 1 species
GGCCUGGUAGCUCAGUUGGUAGAGCAGAGGACUGAAAAUCCUUGUGUCGGUGGUUCGAUUCCGCCCUAGGCCACCA